GAUGAAGAACGUAGCGAAAUGCGAUAAGUAAUGUGAAUUGCAGAAUUCAGUGAAUCAUCGAAUCUUUGAACGCACAUUGCGCCCGCCAGUAUUCUGGCGGGCAUGCCUGUUCGAGCGUCAUUUCAACCAUCAAGCCCCCGGCUUGUGUUGGGGACCUGCGGCUGCCGCAGGCCCUGAAAACCAGUGGCGGGCUCGCUGGUCACUCCGAGCGUAGUAAUACAUCUCGCUCAGGGCGUGCUGCGGGUUCCGGCCGUUAAAAAGCCUUAUUUACCCAAGGUUGACCUCGGAUCAGGUAGGAAGACCCGCUGAACUUAAGCAUAUCAAUAAGCGGAGGA
rnacentral:misc_RNA from 1 species